rnacentral:lncRNA from 1 species
CGCCUCGCCGAUUAGCAGACAAAGAACUCGGAGCCUCCACCAUCGAGAAAUGGAGGCUCGCGUUCAGCGUGUCCUGCGCGGCGGAUAUCGGCACCGUCGGAGAAGAUGUUGUCUGAACAGAAAUUGAGUUCGGGUUCCACGGCGGCAGCUCGUCGAGCUAGUCGAUUGCGGCCUUGGCUUUCUUGAUGAGCCAAUCGACGGCCUUGCUGGGCCGGUCGUAUCCGAGCCGGUCUUGCACGUCGUAGAAUUGAAUGGCGGUGUAGGCGGCGAGCCGGACUCGAUGGUCCCUAGGGCCUUGGGUGGUGCAGACCUUGCUGUGGCGGUCCUUCCGGCCGGUGGCCCUUAGAAUAUGGCCUCG